rnacentral:rRNA from 1 species
GAUGAACGCUGGCGGCGUGCCUAAUACAUGCAAGUCGAGCGAACAGAUGAGGAGCUUGCUCCUCUGACGUUAGCGGCGGACGGGUGAGUAACACGUCAUAACCUACCUAUAAGACUGGGAUAACUUCGGGAAACCGGAGCUAAUACCGGAUAAUAUAUUGAACCGCAUGGUUCAAUAGUGAAAGACGGUUUUGCUGUCACUUAUAGAUGGAUCCGCGCCGCAUUAGCUAGUUGGUAAGGUAACGGCUUACCAAGGCAACGAUGCGUAGCCGACCUGAGAGGGUGAUCGGCCACACUGGAACUGAGACACGGUCCAGACUCCUACGGGAGGCAGCAGUAGGGAAUCUUCCGCAAUGGGCGAAAGCCUGACGGAGCAACGCCGCGUGAGUGAUGAAGGUCUUCGGAUCGUAAAACUCUGUUAUUAGGGAAGAACAAAUGUGUAAGUAACUAUGCACGUCUUGACGGUACCUAAUCAGAAAGCCACGGCUAACUACGUG